GGUGGUGCAGUGGUUAAAGCACUUGGUUGCUAACCAAAAGGUUGGUGGUUUGAAUCCGCCAGCUACUG
rnacentral:tRNA from 1 species